CCUACGGGAGGCAGCAGUGAGGAAUAUUGGUCAAUGGGCGCGAGCCUGAACCAGCCAUGUAGCGUGAAGGAUGACUGCCCUACGGGUUGUAAACUUCUUUUAUAAAGGAAUAAAGUGAGGCACGUGUGCCUUUUUGUAUGUACUUUAUGAAUAAGGAUCGGCUAACUCCGUGCCAGCAGCCGCGGUAAUACGGAGGAUCCGAGCGUUAUCCGGAUUUAUUGGGUUUAAAGGGUGCGUAGAUGGGUUGUUAAGUCAGUUGUGAAAGUUUGGGGCUCAACCGCAAAAUUGCAAUUGAUACUGGCAGUCUAGAGUGCAGUUGAGGUAGGCGGAAUUCGUGGUGUAGCGGUGAAAUGCUUAGAUAUCACGCAGAACUCCGAUUGCGAAGGCAGCUUACUAAACUGCCACUGACAUUGAUGCUCGAAAGUGUGGGUAUCAAACAGGAUUAGAUACCCUAGUAGUC
rnacentral:rRNA from 1 species